GUGUCGUGGAAGGUUCAUACAAUGCCCAAAUAUCAAGGAGGGUUAGGAUUUCGAGACACAUAACUGUUUAACUUAGCUAUGUUCUCUAAGAAAGCGUGGAGGCUUGUCCAAGAUCCGACCUCUCUUAGUGCAAGAAUCGUCAAGGUUGUAUACUACUCGGAGAUAGAUGUGAUGCAAGCUGAACUAGGCAACAAACCUUCCCAAAUUUGACGGGCGGUGUGCGCUGGUAUCUCGGUUUUGAAACAAGGCCUUAUCAAAAGGGUUGGUAAUGGCCAGUCGAUCCGGGAAUGGGAGGACAACUGGUUACCUCACGAUUUCAUGCUGAGAACAGUUCAUCCGAGAACUCCGAAUCCUCCAUAG
rnacentral:rRNA from 1 species